rnacentral:rRNA from 1 species
ACCUACGGGGGGCAGCAGUGGGGAAUAUUGCACAAUGGGGGAAACCCUGAUGCAGCGACGCCGCGUGAGUGAAGAAGGUCUUCGGAUUGUAAAGUUCUGUCCUUAUCGAAGAGAGGGUAUAGAGUGAAAAAUGAUAUACUAGGACGGUAGAUGAGGAGGAAGCCCCGGCUAACUACGUGCCAGCAGCCGCGGUAAUACGUAGGGGGCGAGCGUUGUCCGGAAUCACUGGGCGUAAAGGGCGCGUAGGCGGUAAUAUAAGUCAGAUGUGAAAGGUGGGGGCUCAACCCCUAGAGUGCAACUGAUAC